rnacentral:lncRNA from 1 species
AUUGAUUGUGCUUGUGGUGCUAUGCUGUUUGUUCAUCAAAAAGUAUCACCAGAGGAAGAUGGGAUUACGGUGCAGAUUGGACCUCUGAACCAUUCUUUUUAAAAAUGGAGGUUAGAUGGCAGAAACUGGGUGAGAAGAUAAAUGAUUUAUCCAAAGUCAUACCACAAGAUCUGAACCAAGUUCUUCCAUCUCUAGCAUAAUCAAUAUUCUUUCCCCCUCCAUGACUCUUUAAGCCCUACAAAUGGAAACAGGAAAUUGGGACCUAAAAAAAUUUUUUUUUUGGAAAAUAUCUAAGAUGCCCUGGACACAAAAGAGGAAGAAGGAAACGUUGAUAAGACUUUGACAAACAAGAUGAUUUCAUUGUAGACAACUUUGAGAAAAUGUUUAUAGUUCAAAUAGACCAGGUCAUAGCUCAAAGGUAUAUGCUGACUUCAAUUUUGUCUCAACCAGUUCUCCUGUUAUAUUUCCUCUUUAAAUUGAAACCAGAUAAUGAUUGGAUCAUGAGAUUUAUAACUAAAAGUAGCUUUAGAGGUCUUUGAAUCUAACCUACUUUAUAUAGAUAAGGAAACAGAAGUCCCAAAGAAAUUGUUAUUCCCCAAAAGUCAGACUUAAAACCCCAGCCUUCUGGCAUGUUUUCUUCUAUUCUAUGAAUGUAGAAUAAUGAAGAAGAUACUGGACAUUAAGAAAAACUAGGUUCAAUUCUUAUUUCCAGCAUUUUAUAGGUAUGUGAUCAUGAAUAAGUUUCUAAACUUGUUUUCUCAUCUGUUAAAAGUAGAUAGCAACAGAUCUGCAAUUUAAAUGAAAGAACAUAAAUAAAGAACUUUGUAAAG